CCCAAUCAGCUUGAUGCUGAGGAGAAGGGCUGUGCAGCAGAGAGGCUGUUUAGUUUCUUCAUUCUACUGCAGUGGAAGAACAUUGAUCAUCUGCUGUCUGUUUGGUUUCAACAACUCCAAAGACAUGUUGCUUUACCUCUUUAUACUUUUAUCUCACAUUAUAGCCAUGGGUUCCAUGAACAGCAUAAAACCAGAAAAUACUGAAGAACGUGUUGCAGAGGGAGGAAACAUCAACCUGACCUGUAAAUAUGAGGGUUCUAUCAGCAAUAUCCAGUGGUACCAACAAUACCAGAGAUCCAGACCAGAGUUCCUGCUCUACAUCACAGAGGACGGAUCGAUUCAUCCAACUGUUUCUGUUUUCUCAGCUCACAUUAACAAAACAGAGAAAAGUGUUGAUCUGCAGAUCUCCUCUGCUGCAGUGACAGACUCUGCUCUGUACUACUGUGCUGUGAGGCCCACAGUGACAGGAAACCCACAGUCUCUGUACAAAAACCUGACAGCUCCUCAAUGAACAUUUACACACUUCAACUACUCUUUGUGUUGAACUUCACUGCCAUCAAGUGGACAGAGAGUGCACUUACAUGUGCACCAGUAUCCUGGUUGUGAUGGUGUUUUUAGAGAUUCCCAUUUAGUAUUGCACAAGUAAACAUUGUAUCCUGGUUUUAGAAACCUGGAAAUGUUACCUGAAGUAAAACUAGGGAAGUGUAGCAUGUAAACAUCUGUUCCAGAUUUGUUAAUAUUCUCUGUUGGUAGAGAAAUUAGGCUGGGAUGUUGAGGAAUUAGGACACAACUGGACACACAUGAUCAGAAAUCAGUAUCCUGUUAGAAUCAUGUAUACAGGGAUAUGUAUAACCAGGUUUCUAAUGUUCCAUGUAACCGUCAUAUCCUGAAUAUGAUCAAAAGCCGGAUAAGACUCAGAACUGAAUACUAAUGUGUGAUUAGAUACAGCUUCAGUUCACACAGGUGUUUCUCACUGGUGUUGUACUGUAAUGAGACACUGAUCCAACCACAGCCGACAACCUGGUGGAAUCAGGUUAUAAUUGGAAAAUAAAUUAUAUCAGACAUUAAUUUUAAAGUUCAAGUUUUAACUCCUUUAACUGACAUAGUCAGCUUUCACAAUGUAAAAAGAUUAUGCGAAAAUGACAAGUCUUCUAUCUAAUUUCUAAUUUUAAGAGACUCGUUAGCACAAUAUACCAUUUUGGACAUCUUUUUUGGACAGGUAUGCCUGUUUUUUGCUG